rnacentral:rRNA from 1 species
UACCCUGGUAGUCCAUGCCGUAAACGUUGGGCGCUAGGUGUGGGACUCAUUCCACGAGUUCCGUGCCGCAGCUAACGCAUUAAGCGCCCCGCCUGGGGAGUACGGCCGCAAGGCUAAAACUCAAAGGAAUUGACGGGGGCCCGCACAAGCGGCGGAGCAUGCGGAUUAAUUCGAUGCAACGCGAAGAACCUUACCAAGGCUUGACAUAUACCGGAAACAUCCAGAGAUGGGUGCCCCUUUUGGUCGGUAUACAGGUGGUGCAUGGUUGUCGUCAGCUCGUGUCGUGAGAUGUUGGGUUAAGUCCCGCAACGAGCGCAACCCUCGUUCUAUGUUGCCAGCACGUCAUGGUGGGGACUCAUAGGAGACUGCCGGGGUCAACUCGGAGGAAGGUGGGGAUGACGUCAAAUCAUCAUGCCCCUUAUGUCUUGGGCUUCACGCAUGCUACAAUGGCCGGUACAAAGGGCUGCGAUACCGCAAGGUGGAGCGAAUCCCAAAAAACCGGUCUCAGUUCGGAUUGGGGUCUGCAACUCGACCCCAUGAAGUCGGAGUCGCUAGUAAUCGCAGAUCAGCAACGCUGCGGUGAAUACGUUCCCGGGCCUUGUACACACCGCCCGUCAAGUCACGAAAGUCGGUAACACCCGAAGCCGGUGGCCCAACCCUUGUGGGGGGAGCCGUCGAAGGUGGGACUGGUGAUUGGGACUAAGUCG